rnacentral:rRNA from 1 species
UACAGAGGGGGCAAGCGUUGUUCGGAAUUACUGGGCGUAAAGGGCGCGUAGGCGGCCUUCUAAGUCGAACGUGAAAUCCCUGGGCUCAACCCAGGAACUGCGUCCGAUACUGGGAGGCUUGAAUCCGGGAGAGGGAUGCGGAAUUCCAGGUGUAGCGGUGAAAUGCGUAGAGAUGUGGAGGAACACCAGUGGCGAAGGCGACUCUUUGGUCUGUAACUGACGCUGAGGCGCGAAAGCGUGGGGAGCAAACAGG